GAAAAAGAAAAUCUACAUUGGUUAGGAAUCUAUAGAGGCGGGGAAUAAAAACUAACCUUGAGAAGUAAAAAAUGGACGCAGAAAGCUCAUUUAUGAUGCAGUUUUGGUAUUAACAACAGUAAAAAUUGAAGGAAGAGUGGAGGAGGAACCCUAAUCCCCAAUCCAAUUUAAUGUCACAUUCACCGGACAGAAUCCCAAGUCCUAACCCUAACCCCAGUCCAAGGCCACCUCCAUCUUCAAAACGGAGCAAAGCUCUAAGCUUGCCAGACUUAUGGUUCAAAGAUCAAUCGCUAAAGAAUGCAGCUUUGAAGAUGCAUCUCAGAUCCCUCUCUGCUACCCCAUCAGCAUCACCUCCCUCUGACACUGACUUUUCAUUAAUAACACUGGACCCUUCAGGGCCCGAUCAGACCUUCCUCCUCUCCGACGAGCUCCUCCUUCAAAUUUUCUCCAGGCUCCCUCUCUCUUGUUAUGUCUCUAAUUCUCUUGUCUGCAAACGCUGGUUGUAUCUUCAUGGCCGCUUGGUACAAUCACUCAAGCUCACCGACUUGUCCUUUCUUAAUUCGGGUCGGAUAUUUUACCGCUUCCCCAAUCUCACCGAGAUUGACAUUGUUAACGCAUGUAUUAGAACCCCUCGUAACUCCGGUAUUUUGUUGACUCAUAAGAAUUUGUCAAUUCAUAUUGGUACCCAAUUCUCAGGGACGGAGUUUAUCGAAAAGAGUGAUCUCUUACCAUCGGAUUUGCUUGAUAGUGGACUUGAAAUGAUUGCCCAACGGUACCCUAAUUUGAGGAGAAUUUUUGCAGUUGGCGCAAGCGAAACUGGGCUUUUGAGUAUUUCAAAUGAGUGCGAGACAUUGCAAGAACUGGAGUUGCAUUGUUGUGGAGAUUUAUCUUUGAAGGGCAUUUCACGUUGUAGGAAUUUGCAAUUAGUGAAAUUGAUUGGUUGUUUUGAUGGGUUUUAUAAUUCGGUGGUGUCUGAUAUUGGACUAACGAUAUUAGCGCAGGGAUGUAGGCGGUUAGUGAAGCUUGAACUGUGUGGAUGUGAAGGAAGCUAUGAUGGGAUUAAAGCAAUUGGACAGUGUUGUCAAAUGCUUGAGGAGUUGACUUUCUUUGAUCAUAGGAUGGAUGGUGGGUGGUUGGCUGCACUGUCAUUUUGCGGCAAUUUGAAGACUUUGAGGCUGCAGUCCUGCAAGAGCAUUGAUUCAGAUCCAGGUCCGGAUGAGCAUUUGGGAUCCUGUCCUACUCUUGAAGAGCUGCAUUUGCAACAGUGUCAGAUGCGGGAUAAGCCAGGCGUGAAGGCUUUAUUUUUAGUUUGUGAGGCAGUCCGGGAGAUUGUUUUGCAGAACUGUUGGGGAUUGGAGGAUGACGUAUUUGGUUUUGCAAGCCUUUGUAGGUAUGGGGCUUUGUAAUUGUGGUUUUCAUGAUUAAAUAUUCAAUUGUUUUUUCAUUUCUAACUUUCUUAUGAUAUUGGUAAAUGAAUGAGAUGGAUGAAAAUGAAUUAUAUCACUAGAAGGACAACCAAGUCAUUGCUAGUUCAUUUUUUGUGUUGGUUACAGUGUUUGUUCUUAGCUUUAUUUUUUUUUUUCAUGAUAUAUAAUCAUUUGUGUUCUGCUUUAGAUUGGUAGUUGCCAUCUUGGAAGAAAAAGUCAGGAAUUUUAAAAUGUACUCAAAGUGUAUGUCCAAGCAACUUUUUCUUUUUUUCUCAAAGUGCUUUCUGUACCUAACAAUUCCUUCAAGUCUUAAAUGUUUACUUAUUGCGCAUUAGCAUUCUAGCAACAGUACAUAUGACUACAAUCAAAUCAAGCUGAAGAUGAGGAACUGAUAGAAUUGUUGAAAUCAUUCCGCACUUUCAUAACCUUUAUGCAAAUAAUGCACCUGCUUUAAUUAUAUGGUUUAUUUCCUCGAGGGGUUCCCAUCCAUUUGUAAAUAAAGCAUUCUUUAAGAGGAAAGUUAAGUUCAGUGUAUGUUCUUGCAUUGGAAUUACAUUGGGCAAGUUGACAUACUUAACCAAAAAAGAAAAAGGGAAAAAAGAGCAUAAGUAUUUAAAUAGGUGUGCGUGUUGAUAAUAAUCCUUGAACCUUGAACAUGAGUCUGUAGCCAUUUGGUUUAACAAUCUUGUAUAAUGAAUGCAGUACAUUACCUUGGGAAAUACUGUGAUUCACUGUUCUGAUGAACCUUUUCUUUUUGUUUCUUGAUAGGAGGGUGAAGCUUGUAUCACUAGAAGGAUGUUCAUUGCUGACAACAGGAGGUUUGGAGGCAGUUAUUGUUAAUUGGAAGGAGCUUCAAAGAUUAAGAGUAAAUUCAAGCAACAAGAUCAAGGACAGUGAAGUGAGUCCUGCCCUGGCAUCUCUGUUCUCUGUUCUCAAAGAACUGAAAUGGCGACCAGACUCCAGAUCUCUCCUUUCCUCAAGUCUUGCUGGGACUGGAGUGGGCAAUAAAGGUGGUAGAUUUUUCAAGGGAUUGAAGGGUUGAAUCUGGGCUUCAAUUUGGUGAACGUUUUUGUGAUUUACAUGGUAGCUGCAAAAUGUUUUGGUGGUAUACUACUCUUUAGAUAUCCUCUAUCAUCUUCUUAUCUAAUUUAGAUGAUCAGCCGUCGGUAGCAGAGGAGGAUUUGCUUGAGCUUUUCACUAAGAGCUUGCUAAUGGGGGCUAUCGUAUGAAGCAUAUCAUUACUCAAUCACCCCUUUUAGUUUAUGUGGGUGAUUUGUAAGUUGAGCUAAAUAAGCUGUGUAACUGUAUUUUAAAGCUAGGGCUGUUUUUUUUUUCCCUAACCUUGAACUAGGUCAGAUAUUCUAAUUCAGUUAUCUAAUAGUCAUCUGACUUUUUAGGAAUAGCAUAAGUGUAAAUCUCCACUUAUUUCCAAUUACAGUCAGUUAAAUUUGCAUAUUCAUUAUGCUUUCAUGCACCUGCUAUUGCACCUGUUGAGGAGGUUCUUUUGUUGCUUAAUUCAUUUUCUAUGCUUGGAA
rnacentral:misc_RNA from 1 species